CUUCUCUCUCGCGGGUCUCCUCUCUCUCUCUUGCUGACCUCUUUCGUUCUCCAUCUCUCCUUUACCAAGAGGCUCGUCGAGAGUCGUGAGGGUGCUGGGCAAACCUUCGGCGAGGCUCGAGAGGGUCAUUGCGCGAAGCUCGGGUGCCAGCGAGUGCGCGAGGUCGAGCGAGCGAUUUUGUGAGAUUGUGCGAAGGGAGUGUGAAGGGCGGACGCUGCGAGGUUCGAGUGCUGAGCGAGACGAGCAAAGGAGCGAGCAGGAGGGCGUUGUGCGACGAAGCUCGAAGUGCGAGUCGAGUGGUUCGAGUGUGUGAGCGAGGGACGACGAAGGCUUGUGCGAGGCUGCUGCUGUGCGAGCUGUGCGACGAAGCUCGAAGCGUGCGUUGCUGCUGCUGUGCGAGUGGUGCGACGAAGUUGUUGCACCGUGGCCGGAAAUCGGUCGCCGGAACUUGAUUUCCGGCGAGCUUAACGGUCCCAAUUUCAUAAGCGGAACGUUCGAUUAAGACAGCGAAAAUUCUCCGUUACAAGACUAGGUGUGCUGGUGCUGCUGCAUAAACUCGAGCAUACGGGGACUAGGCUUGGGUAUUUAAAUUUAAAGCAUUUUGAAAUAAGUAUUAUUGGUUUUUCUAAGACUUAUAUAUGGUUUGUGGUUUGAAUGAAAGGGGUCAUUGAUGAUUCCCGAGUUGUAUUUAUAUUUUAAUUCCGCUGCAUUUUAGUUUUCAAGUUAAUGUUUUAAGUUAUCGUUAACCCUUAUUA